CGUCGGUCCUAAGGCAAACAAAAAGAGAAAACUUCUUAAGUGUUCCUUCCUUCACACGAGAAGCCUCUCGGUUUCCACUAGCCGCGCGAUUCCUCUCUUCUCUUCAAGCCGAUUCCUUCCACUUCCUAAGCUUAAGAUCUCCACCGAAAUUCUUCAAGGAAAAUGACUUUCUUUUGAGUCUUCGGAUUUCCUCUUCCUCUUCUAGUCUGCUGGUUGUUCCCGUAGCUUGAAAAGGGAGCCAAGUCAGGAGUUUAUUUUCAAGAUUCAAGGAACCUACUUGUAAAGCAUCGAGGUAAGUAGCUAUGACUAUGCUCCUUACACAAAGCUCUCUUAUG